CAACACCUAUAAAUCUUCCCGUUAACCGAGACCUAUGGGAAGUAAAAUUACGUCUCUCAUAUCCACUAGUGAAGGGAUUAGUGGAAAUACAGUAUCGC
rnacentral:ncRNA from 1 species